rnacentral:rRNA from 1 species
UACGUAGGGGGCAAGCGUUAUCCGGAAUCAUUGGGCGUAAAGCGCGUGUAGGCGGUUCCGUAAGUCCGCUCUGAAAGCCCAGGGCUCAACCCUGGGAGGCGGGUGGAUACUACGGAACUGGAGUACGGAAGAGGAGAUUGGAAUUCCUGGUGUAGCGGUGAAAUGCGCAGAUAUCAGGAGGAACACCGAUGGCGAAGGCAGAUCUCUGGGCCGUAACUGACGCUGAGGAGCGAAAGCAUGGGGAGCGAACAGG